AGAGUUUGAUCCUGGCUCAGAUUGAACGCUGGCGGCAGGCCUAACACAUGCAAGUCGAGCGAGAAAGCACUUCGGUGUGAGUAGAGCGGCGGACGGGCGAGUGAGUAACGCGUAGGAAUCUGCCUUGGAGGGGGGGACAACAUGGGGAAACUCAUGCUAAUACCGCAUACAUACGCCCUACGGGGGAAAGCGGGGGAUCUUCUGACCUCGCGCUCUAAGAUGAGCCUGCGUCGGAUUAGCUAGUUGGUGAGGUAAUGGCUCACCAAGGCGACGAUCCGUAGCUGGUCUGAGAGGACGACCAGCCACACUGGGACUGAGACACGGCCCAGACUCCUACGGGAGGCAGCAGUGGGGAAUAUUGGACAAUGGGGGCAACCCUGAUCCAGCAAUGCCGCGUGUGUGAAGAAGGCCUGCGGGUUGUAAAGCACUUUCAGCAGCGAGGAAAAGCCUAGGGUUAAUAUCCAUGGGUCUUGACGUUAACUGCAGAAGAAGCACCGUCUAACUUCGUGCCAGCAGCCGCGGUAAUACGAAGGGUGCAAGCGUUAAUCGGAAUUACUGGGCGUAAAGCGCGCGUAGGCGGUUAGAUAAGUUGGUGGUGAAAUCCCGGGGCUCAACCCCGGAACUGCCAUUGAUACUGGAAGUCUUGAGUUUGGUUGAAGUGGGCGGAAUGUAGCAUGUAGCGGUGAAAUGCUUAGAUAUGCUACAGAACACCGAUCGCGAAGGCAGCUCACUAAACCAACACUGACGCUCAGGCACGAAAGCGUGGGGAGCGAACAGGAUUAGAUACCCUGGUAGUCCACGCCGUAAACUAUGAUCACUCGUUGUUGGCGAUACACUGUCAGUGACUAAGCGAAAGCGAUAAGUGAUCCACCUGGGGAGUACGAUCGCAAGGUUGAAACUCAAAGGAAUUGACGGGGGCCCGCACAAGCGGUGGAGCAUGUGGUUUAAUUCGAUGAUACGCGAGGAACCUUACCUGGGCUCAAAUGCAAGAUGACAACCCCUGAAAGGGGGCUUUCUUCGGACAUUUUGCAAGGUGCUGCAUGGUUGUCGUCAGCUCGUGCCGUGAGGUGUCGGGUUAAGUCCCAUAACGAGCGCAACCCCUACUCUUAGUUGCCAGCAUGUUAUGAUGGGGACUCUAAGAGAACUGCCUACGCAAGUAGAGAGGAAGGUGGGGAUGACGUCAAAUCAGCACGGCCCUUACGUCCAGGGCUACACACGUGCUACAAUGGCCGGUACAGAGGGCAGCCACCUAGUGAGGGGGAGCGAAUCUCGAAAGCCGGUCUCAGUUCGGAUCGAAGUCUGCAACCCGACUUCGUGAAGCUGGAAUCGCUAGUAAUCGCGCAUCAGCCAUGGCGCGGUGAAUACGUUCCCGGGCCUUGUACACACCGCCCGUCAAGCCAUGGAAGCUGGGGGUACCUGAAGUCAGUGACCAUUUAGGAGCUGCCUAGGGUAAAACUAGUAACUGGGGCUAAGUCGUAACAAGGUA
rnacentral:rRNA from 1 species